rnacentral:rRNA from 1 species
UACGUAGGUGGCAAGCGUUGUCCGGAUUUACUGGGCGUAGAGAGCGCGCAGGCGGUCGGAUAAGUCGAAUGUGAAAGCCCCCGGCUCAACUGGGGAGGGUCAUUCGAUACUGUUCGACUCGAAGGCAGGAGAGGGAAGUGGAAUUCCCGGUGUAGUGGUGAAAUGCGUAGAUAUCGGGAGGAACACCAGUGGCGAAGGCGACUUCCUGGCCUGUUCUUGACGCUGAGGCGCGAAAGCUAGGGGAGCAAACGGG